rnacentral:rRNA from 1 species
UCGGAAUCACUGGGCGUAAAGGGUGCGUAGGCGGGUYUUUAAGUCAGAGGUGAAAUCCYGGGGCUCAACUCCRGAACUGCCUUUGAUACUGAAGAUCUUGAGUUCGGNAGAGGUGAGUGGAACUSCGAGUGUAGAGGUGAAAUUCGUAGAUAUUCGSAAGAACACCAGUGGCGAAGGCGRCUCACUGGCCCGRUACUGACGCUGAGGCACGAAAGCGUGGGGAGCAAACAGGAUUAGAUACCCUGGUAGUCCACGCYGUAAACGAUGAAUGCYAGCCGUURGUGGGYUUACUCACUAGUGGCGCAGCUAACGCUUUAAGCAUUCCGCCUGGGGAGUACGGUCGCAAGAUUAAAACUCAAAGGAAUUGACGG